ACUCAAAGGAAUAGACGGGGGCCCGCACAAGCAGCGGAGCGUGCGGUUUAAUUCGAUGGUACGCGAAGAACCUUACCCAGGCUUGACAUGCAAGUGGUACUGAGCCGAAAGGCAAGGGACCCGCAAGGGAGCUUGCACAGGUGUUGCACGGCUGUCGUCAGCUCGUGUCGUGAGAUGUUGGGUUAAGUCCCGCAACGAGCGCAACCCUCGGGGUCUGUUGUAUCUCUCAGACCCGACUGCCGAGAGAAACUCGGAGGAAGGUGGGGAUGACGUCAAGUCAGCGUGGCCCUUACGCCUGGGGCUACACGCACGCUACAAUGGCUGGUCACAGCGAGUUCCGACGGCGCGAGCCGAAGGUAAUCUCUUAAAACCAGCCUCAGUUCAGAUCGGAGGCUGCAACUCGCCUCCGUGAAGUCGGAGUUGCUAGUAACCGGGGGUCAGCACACCCCGGUGAAUAUGUUCCCGGGCCUUGCACACACCGCCCGU
rnacentral:rRNA from 1 species